rnacentral:rRNA from 1 species
UACAGAGACUGCAAGCGUUAUUCGGAUUUAUUGGGCGUAAAGCGCUCGCAGGUGGUUCAUUGCGUCGUGCGUGAAAGCCCCCGGCUCAACUGGGGAGGGUCACGCGAUACUGAUCGACUCGAAGGCAGGAGAGGGUAGUGGAAUUCCCGGUGUAGUGGUGAAAUGCGUAGAUAUCGGGAGGAACACCAGUGGCGAAGGCGACUACCUGGCCUGUUCUUGACGCUGAGGCGCGAAAGCUAGGGGAGCAAACGGG